GGAGGGAGAGGGGGCCCUGGGCUCACAAUUGCAAAAACCUGAAUUCUGCCGACAACAAUAAUGGGCUCAGAAGCGGGUCCUCUCCCAGGCCUCCCGCUCAGAGCCCAGCCGGCCAACGCCUGGACUCUGGCCGAGAGACUCUCGGCAGCAAAUCCAGUGGAGCCCCCCGACUUCUGACACCAGAAACCGUCUGUGAGUGCAGGUCUGCGUUCUCAAGCCGCUAAACUCACGGAGAUUUCUACGCAGCUGCAGAAGAUGAAUGCAUCUCCCUUCUACGCCUUCUGCUGUGGCGGCCGAGACGGAGCUUAAUGUCACUCCCCUUGAGUGUGGACUGAAUUUAGUGACUCAAUUUCCAAGAAUUGAGC
rnacentral:lncRNA from 10 species